AGGAGGUAUCUGUACAAUUGUAUUAAUCAAUUAUCUAUCCAGGCUAUAGGUCAGAAUCUUGGAAUAAAAGGACAAGGUUUCAAAUCCUCUCUCUAUCACUUAGAACGUCUGUAAUCUUGGCAAAGUAGCAUUGCUUCUCUGGGUUUCAGUUCCCACAUGUGUAGAUUGAGGGAAGUUGAACUUGAUGGUCUCUGAAGUCUCCAAAUUUAAAUCUAUAAUGAAUCUGCCCAAACCUCUAUUUCUGUAAGGAAAGAAAGGUCAAAGUUCAUUUUGGAAAGUAGAAAAUCUGUCAUUAUCUAGUAGAGAUUUGGUUUUGUUGGACAGGGCUUUGUAAGGAAUAAGAUGGAUUUUUACCCUGGGUAUCUACACUGACUUCCUAUUUUUCUUCUUAUUUCCCCCCUUCCCCACAGGUAUCACUAGUACCACGAGUUGGAUCAGAGAAACAGAAGAUAGCAAAAAAGUCACAUUUUCAGGAUUCUUGAUGACUUGAUACAUCUCUCUAUCACUCCUCAACAAAUGCUUUGUACUCCCAGAACCUUUCAUCUGAGCUCCACACCACUCACAAAAAGGAUUCCCGGAGCUGCUGGGAUAGAUAACAACUGGCAGGGCUUACAAAAAUAGCUCCGAUAAGGCCACGUACAUGCAGAAAUUAUGACUCUUUAAUAUAACAGCCAUGCUCUACUCAAGUCUAUUCAAAACACCAGAGAAAAAGUCAUGUGGACCAGCAAAGGGAGGAAAGAUAAAAUUGGUCGAAGAAAAAGGUACCUUGAGAUUCUUCAGAUGGAAUUGCUAACAAUGGCAAGGCAAAAGCCAACAGGAUGAAUGGAGUCCCCAAACGCAGAACCUGGCACAUCCUACUAAUGCAAAUAAAACCAUGGCUUCGGGGCAAGCUUUGCUCUGCUUUCUGGACAAGAAGGAAAAUCAGGUAGUAUUUGGAAAAUGUACAGCAAUGAAGGCUGUAUCUUUUGGGGCAAAGAGAAGGAGAGAAAACAGGCUUUCAGUCCCUACCAUAAUACCCACAGAGUCCGCACAAGGUGAUCAAGGAAGGGCCAUGGACCUGAUGCUGUUACUUUCCUGGAGUUUCAAGAAAUCUCAAAGCAAGGGCCAAAGAAGAGAAUAACCACGGAUGGUAAUGGAGCUGUCACAGAGAAGAGAGAAGUGGAAAUUCAUGGUUCUCUUGUGAGGCAAAGACAUCUGUGUUAUUGCACCCUAAGCCAAUAGUUUUUAAAACAAAGUCAUAAAACAAGCUACUGUAUAUAACAGGGAUGGAAAAUAUGUGGAGCUUUCCUCCGCCCUUUACAGGUCUCUGAGAAGAAAAAAGAACGAGACCAAUGACUGGGAAGGAAAGACGCAGGAGCUGCCAGCAGGAGGGUGCAUGGCUCCCACCUUCCACAGGAACAGGGACAGCUUGUGCUAAAAAGAAUGGGAUAGACAAACCCAUGUCAGAGGCAAUGGCCAGGCAGCAGGAAGGGCACAGCCUGUUUCUCUAACCUCUGGCUAGAAAACCAGAGUGAUGAGAGGUGGUUCCCCUCCUUUGCCCUUCUAUUGUCCUGACUCCACACUUCAGGUUCCUGUCUGGGGCCCUCUGGAUCCGAAUUCUGCACCAUUGUGGGGUGCUCAAUAAAUGUUUCUUUAUUAUUA